AGUCCUGCAGCUGGGCUGAGCGGGGAGUCAGCUCAGAAGACACUGGCCUGGGGAUGAGACUCGGGGCAUGCUUCAGAGGGAAGAAAGAGCUUCUGAACAGACAAUGCUGUCUUAAAGGUGGCAUCUUGGUGCUUUCUCAUGCCUUGUUUUCUUUCAUCCUCAGAAUGUGUCUGGGGGUGAGAGGACGGGUGUGACUGCUGAAACUUCCUUUCUUGGUGAUUCCACAUCACUCCUUUCUGAUCCCUGAGCCUGUGCCACGCCCUGUGUGAUGUGCCGGGGACACCAGGGUGAAUACUUACAGGCCCUGUUCCCCUUCCUUCAUGAAACAGCCUCCUUCGGGCUGGGUCACUGGGCACUGGGGCCUCCCUGGUCUUCCAGGAUUGCAACUUCACAGAAUCCCUUUUCCAUAAGGCACAUGAAAGUGACUGUGACCCGCAACGGGAGCCUUGACAACCAGCCAAUUCAGAACACAGACCUUGACAUCGGAAGGCCCCGAGUUCAAAUCCUGCCUUGCUCCCUUUCAGCUGGAAAGCUGUGGUCAAAUUACUUAGCCUCUCCAAGCCAGUUUUCCCUUCUGCAAAAUGAGGUUACACAAGCUGCCACCUCACAGAAUGAGUCUCACCCACGCCUCUCCAAGCCUCCCAACAGAAGACAGAGGUCCCCCACAGCCAGAGACAUUUCCUGAAGACAUGGGGAACACAGAGGCAGAAACAGCCCAUCCACCCAGGAGCUGUCCCCCACACUGCCGGGAGCCGGCACCCAGAGCCGCCAGGUAAAACUGAGGCCACCUGGUUCAACAUCACCUUUCACAGAAGGGGAAGCAGCCACAGAAAGAAGGGCCUCGUUAAGAAGUGGAACCUGGGACCCCCAAGCGGUGUCUCUCAUCCUGACUGGGGAUCCAGAGUAGGAGGGAGCCUUUGGUGGGGUUGGAGUCCCGCCACAGGCCACCAGAGCGGAGCAGCGCAGCGCCCUGUCUCCCAGCCUGAGGUGCAGUGCUGCAUCUCUGGUCAGUUGGGAGUCUGAGAUGAAGCACUGUAGCUCAGGAAGAGAGAAGUUGUUCUGCAGCCAUCAGCCUGGAAGUGGUAAGUGCUGGGGGGUUGUGGGGGGCCAUAACAGGAAGGACAGAGUGUUUCCAGACUCCAUACUAUCAGCCACUUGUGAUGCUGGGGAAGUUCCUCUACACAAGUUCCCCUGGUGCCACGAUCUGCUUCACGAGUCUGGGCAUGUCCUGACUCCUCUGUGUACCCCAGUGUGUCCAUCUUAGCAUGAGGCGUUAGCAUUUCCCCAGCACCCUGCCUCUGCUUUCUCUUUCUGAGCCCAUGGCAGACACAGCUAAUCAGUAAAGGCAUAUAUUCUUUUUUUUUUGAGACACAGUCUCACUCCAUCACCCAGGCUGGAGUGCAGUGGCAUAAUCUCAGCUCACUGCAACCUCCUCCUCCCAGGGUCAAGCAAUUCUCGUGCCUCAGCCUCCCAAGUAGCUGAGAUUACAGGUGUGCGCCACCACACCUGGCUAAUUUUUGUAUUUUUAGUAGAGAUGGGGUUUCACUAUGUUGGCCAGGCUGGUCUCAAACUCCUGACUUCAGGUGAUCUGCCCGCCUCGGCCUCCCAAAGUGCUGGGAUUACAGGCAUGAGCCUCCACGCCCCGCCAGGCAUCCAUUCUUGAAGUGCUCAGAUGCAGCUUCAGAAUCCUCAACAAUGAGCCCUGGAAAGCCACUAGUACUGAUUCACAGCUGAAACUCAUUCAUCAUUUGUGGAUCAAACAAUUCCUAAAAACCCUUUCAGCCCUGAAGAUAAAAAUUCUGGCCUUUGAGUCAGGGUCUUCACUCUGUACUUCUAACCUUGGCUCCGGGGUAUUGCCGAAACCAGUCCAGGCACGUCACAAAUGUCUGACUUCUCCCAGAGGCUUCAGAAGCACAAUGAGCAGCAGAGGAGAGCCAUGGAGCCAAGCACAGUCUCAUUUAACCUCCCCAAAAGCUUGGGAAGUGGGUGGUGUUAUAGCCCCAUUUUACAGAUGAGAAAAACUGAGGCUUAUUUAAGCAGCUCACCUAAAGUCACAUAUUGAUUGUGCUGAGCUGAGAUUGUACCCUAAUCUGCCUUCAAAUCCAUGUUUUUACCCAUUGCAUGUGAUUAUGGAACCUGGGACCGAGGAGCAGGAGGAGAACAUUCUAAAUUCUGCUCCCAUCUUGUCUUUACAUCUCAGGUCACUUUUAGCAAAGACAGACCCGGACACUUGCCAUUAAUACUACAGGCUUCCUUCCUCCUACCCCCUUCCCCCAAUCUUAUUCAUCUCACCUCUCCAGUAGGUCGUGGACUCAUGCAUUUUAUAAUUAAAGAAGGCCAAGGCUCAGGGGUUAAGUGACUUACUGGAGGUUAUCAGAGAGGAAGUUGCCAAACCCAGGCUAGGAACUGAAUGGUUGGUUUAAAUCCACCCCUCUGGCAGGAGACUGGGGAAUACACAUGAGCCGUGCAGACAGCAGAGGGCAGUCCUGGGGGUGGGGGCGCCAGAGGGUUUCCGGUACUUUUCAGGGCAAUUGAAGUUCCGGUCACUACUCCCCCCCAGAGCAAUAAGCCACAUCCGGCGACGUGUGGCACCCCACCCUGGCUGCUACAGAUGGGGCUGGAUGCAGAAGAGAACUCCAGCUGGUCCUUAGGGACACGGCGGCCUUGGCGCUGAAGGCCACUCGCUCCCACCUUGUCCUCACGGUCCAGUUUUCCCAGGAAUCCCUUAGAUGCUAAGAUGGGGAUUCCUGGAAAUACUGUUCUUGAGGUCAUGGUUUCACAGCUGGAUUUGCCUCCUUCCCACCCCACAGUUGCCCCCCAAUGGGGCCUCGGCUGGCUCACAGGAUGAGGGUUCAAGAAGAAGGCUGUCCCUGGAGGUAAGAGGGCUUAUGAACCAUGUUCCAAACCUUUGCGUUGCUUUUCUUUCCAUCGUGUCUAUUUCAUAACAUCCCUGUGAGGCUGGAUGUGGGAACUUCAGCACUGCCGUACUCUUGGGAAAUUUGUCCAAGGCCACCCGGCUGAGCAGCGGUUGAACCAGGACACCAUCAGGCAUGCGUUUCUUGUCUCCACCACACCCUCAACCCACUUCCCAACGCGCCUUGCGACAGGGGCUGCGGUAUUGCAUCCACAUGACUGAUAAACUAGUAAACACACAUGAAUUCAUUUUAAAAGUGUAUUCAAUCAGUUAGGUAAACUAAAAACCUUAAGUCUUCGUUCGAUUUGGAAUGCAGCCAGAGAACAAAUGGAAAAUUUUUCAAGGUAGAGAAGAUGAAAACUCAGAACGCCCUCUUGUGGCAUCUCUACCCACCCUAGGAACACUAUGGCUCUUCCCCUACACAUGGUGAUUGCUAACCUUGCUACAAGACGUUGGACACACACACACACACACACACACACACACACACACUGAGGUUCCUUUUGCCCCCUCACUUUUGAGCCAGUGACUACUGAAACCCUCUCCAUUGUUGCACCACCAGCAAUGCCCCCAUCACUUCCUCUCAUUUACUUCCACAGGCUGGUUCAUCCUCAAAGCCCUCCUUACGUAGAUCUGUGGGAUCAGUGAGGCUCAGAGAGGUAAAGUGGCCAGCCCAAGGUCGCCCAGACAGCAAAAGGCAGGGCCAGCGCUGAUUUCAAGUCCAAUGGCCUAUGGCAAUUUCUUAGCCAAAAGCAAAAUCUACAAAAAUAAAAAGUCAGGCACAGUGGUGAGUGCCUACAGUCCCAGCUACUGAGGAGGCCGACGGGGGAGGACCACUUGAGCUUGGGAGUUCCUGGCUGCAGAGAGCUAUGAUUGUGCCUGUGAAUAGCCAAUGCACUCCAGCCUGAGCAAGAUAGGGAGACCCUGUCUCUAAAAAAUACCUAAAUAAUUUUAAAAGUCAGCCUCUCUGACUGCCUAUAGAGAAUGCUAACUAACUGAAUGACAGAAGACCUAAUGUAAUCCAGGUGCAAAAUCAGAACUUUCCGGCCGGGCGCGGUGGCUCACACCUGUAAUCCCAACACUUUGGGAGGCCCAGGCGGGUGGAUCACGAGGUCAGGAGUUCAAGACCGGCCUGCCCAACAUGGCAAAACCCCGUCUCUACUAAAAAUACAAAAAAUUAGCUGGGCAUGGUGGUGGCCACCUAUAAUCUCAGCUACUCAGGAGGCUGAGGCAGGAGAAUUGCUUGGACCCGGGAGGCAGAGGUUGCAGUGAGCUGAGAUCGCGCCACUGCACUCCAGCGUGGGGGACAAAAGCGAAACUCUGUCUCAAAAAAAAAAAAAUUAGAACUUUCCCCGUACUCUUGCUAGGGCUUUUCAUGGAGAUGUAGAAAUGGUAGUAAGUGCCAAGGCCCCAGAACCCUCAUGUUUGGGUCCGACUCCCACAUUGCCAGAGACUAGGCAGCUCACACAGGUGUCCCAAGCUGUCUUUCUCACAGGCCGCAUUGAAGGCAUUUAUGAAAUGAGACCCCCUCUUCCUCAUCCGUAGUGACAGGGCUGGCCUGACCGUGGAGAAAUCAGAUUUGAUCAUGAUAGCUUCCACUCCGUGACUGGUCACGAUCUGCCAGGCGCUGUGCUAAACACUUUCAUAGGCCUUGUCCCCCUCCAUCCUGAUAACACCCCAGUGAAGCAGGCCCUGCUCUUCACUCCACUCCACAAAGCCAAGGCUGAGAGAGGUUAACAGACUUACCUAAGGUCACACAGCUAAGAAGUCGUGAAGCUGGGAUCGAAUCAAGUCUGUGUUUAUGGGUUUAACUAUCAUGUUGUGGCCCCAACCCCAUUUGACCUAGCCUGGCUGGUGGGCCUUCUUGCAGUAGCUUCCCCUGGAGAAGAGGAAAAGCAAACCUUCAUUGAGACCCAAGCGGUCUCUCCUGUGCUCUGUGACAAUAAUAAAGUUCCAGCCCUUGGCUCCUGUCCUGUUUCUUUCUGGGAAUUUGGGGAAGGGGGGAGGUGGCGAAGGCAGGGAAAGAACCUGACAGGCCCAGCUGAACACCCCCAAGUGGCUCCACACAGCCACUUUGG
rnacentral:lncRNA from 1 species